AGGUGGAUGGUGUCAACCUAACAGCUCUUUGCCAUGGAGGAAAGGUCAGACCUACCGCUUCACUUUUGCAAGCUCUUGUGCUUGUCCAAACUCCUGAUGAGCCAGUUUAGCUCACCAAGCUGGCAGAAAACUGUGUAAGAAGGAGGAAAUGCAUGUGUGAUCGUGCAGGGAAGAAAGCAUUCCCAGUAUGAGGUGGAUGAUGGCACUAUAUGGCCAGAAAGGGGCAAAAGGGAGCAGAUUCAGCCCUUCUUGUAGAGGUGAAGUUAACAAUCAGAUUGCUAUGGCAAUGCCCAUAUGGGCAUGCUGUUAACUAGAGCUCAGAGGAAUAUGUGAAUUCCUGGAAAAUCAGAGAGAAAGAGGAAGAUAACUGAUAGAUCACCUUGGCAGUGUUGCUGUGCUUAUCCCCAAGACAAGAAGGAGGGACAUCUACAGCAGUUUUCAGAGGGAUUAGAAGCAUUGCAUGUGAAGAUUACCACAGGACGUGGUCUAGAAUAGCUACAUCAAAAGCAAGAGAGCGUUUGAACAUUCAUUGUCUGAAGACACAAAAUUUGUGGGGAACUCCCAUGGCUGGAAGGCAAAAAAUGUGAAAAGAACAGAAGACUGGGAUGAGUAUACUGAGAAGAGUAUAUGAGUUGCUGAACAUUUACACCUGGGGGUCUGUAAGUGCAGUGACAAUGUUUGAGUGUCACAGUAUUUACAGAUUCUGGAUGUUUGUCCCUGUGAAUCCUGAAGUUGUAGCAGCCCUCAUCUUUUCUUAAAUGCCCCCCCUUAAGUCCAGUGUUCCUCUGUGAGGUGCAUUUGCUGGGGGGACCUGUGGUAGCCUGGAGGACAUUUGUCCAUCCGGCAGCUUCACUGGGGCUCUCCGUAUCAAACACAGCUCUGACUGUGGAAAUAAUUCCUUGUUGUAACUGUUAAAUUACACACUUCAGUUUCGCUGAACAUGUGAUCAAGUUUUUUAAAUUCUGUUCUUGAAUUCUUCUAUGAGACAGUUUGUGGAAAAAAUAUAGGGAAAUCUCAAAGCCAGGAUGCUGCUUUGCCUCAUGCUGGUAACUAGAGUUUUCUUUCUUAUUAUUUCUUAUGUGGUAACUCUAUAAUGGUUCAAAAAAAACAAAAUCCCAUUUCUCUCUGAAUUCCAUUUGUUUUCAGCAUCAAUUAGAAAGAUAAGGGCUGCUUCACUUAAUUUGGAGGACAGCAAGUCAUGGAUUUAAGUGGAGAGGAUUUUUUCUUUCACAAGAAGCACCUAGAGUGUAGGGUUAAUUUUCCUUUGACAUAGUUUCCUUGGUUUUAUUUCCUUUAACAGAACUCCUUUGUUUUAUAUGUUUGAUAAUUGUUUCAUUAUGUAGUGGCACACCAUCCUACGGGACUCUGCAAAAUGCUCCAAACGUCCCUUUUUGCGCGUACAGCUCCGACAACCUGGACUUGUUUUAGGAGGGUGUCUUCAACUGGAGUAAUUUUUCCCCCCAUUAAAUCCGAGGAUGGAGAGGAAAUUGCGAGGGUGAACCUUUCAGCUUCGGGGAGAUGGGGACAGGACGCUUGGUCAUGUGGAAGAGGCACAGCUCGGUGCCACCUGGUGGCAACAGAUAAUAUGUUUUUAACAGAUUUCUGCCUGCCUUUGAACUGCUGGGUCUGAUUGAUCAAAGGCAGGUCCAAGCGUUCAGCUGCAGGUUCAAACACAGGAUUGCCUCUCACUUUGUGUUUGUUUCUUUUUUUUUUUUUUUUUUUUCUUUUUUUUUUUUUUUUCCCCUCAAUUGCAAACAGCUCACAAAACAUGCUUGCUUUUUUAAAAGCUUGCAGUCUGUUCUUAACUCCUGGCAUGGGAUUAGAGAGGAAAGAGGCCAAAAAUUUGCUGACAUAAGUGCAGCAGAAGAAAUCUUAAUUUCAGUUAUAUAAUAAGGCAAAUGUUCGACUUAAAUAUGUUUUCUUCAUAAAACUGGAUCUCUAAAUUCAAUUACUUCUAUAAAAGAGAUUUGAAAUAUAGCUUGUUUUUGUGUAAUAUGCUGUUCACAUUACUGUGAGCAGUUUGCCCCUGUUGAGUUUUUACAUGUUCACUAAUUACAGUGGCACUGAGUCAAUUCCGACUUCAUUAAAUCAGUGUAAGCCUUCAGGGACUACUGAUUUGUCCUGCUGUAAUGAGCAGCUUGUUGCACAUCAUCCUUAGGAAGAACUGAAUAGUGUUUAAAAAAAAUGAUGGUGAAACACUGGGAAAUGUGGAGUUGCAAGGUAUAAAAAUGUGAUCACAUUUUGGUGAGCUCUGAGACUCGUGGUGCAAGAAGCAGAGUGGAUCACGAUGUAGCACUUCAGCAAUUGCAGAGGACUUUUGGGGCUGUUUUCUGAUGGUAAGAGGAAGAAGUGGUGCUUAUUGUGCAGGGAUAAAAAGAAUAAAACUGAAAAUGUGUUUUCAGAGAGUAGAACAAGCAGAGGGGACUGCUUCUGCUGCACUGACUAUCAUCUGUGCCAGCUUAGAGUAAGAUAAAAUACCUUUAUAGGUAUGGCUAUCAUAUCGAGAGCUUCGGUACAUGGCAAAAAAGCCCUCUGAGAAGCUAGGUGAAUACUCAUGUGGCCAGACAUGCUAAUCUGCAGGGGUCUGAGGCAGUGCUACAAGAUAGGUAAAAGCCAGCUGAAAUAUUUCUGCAGCAGCUUGGCCUUCAGCAUCAGCAUUUGAGUGCCCUUUCUCGUGAGUACCUACAAAGCCUGCAAAACAAAAGUGUCCACAGCAGGGACGUACGUAGAGCUCUUUCCUUUUCUCCCUGUCUGCUCUAGCAGGCAUUCACAGCUCUCGGAUCGACUGCCAUGAGCUCUCUAAAAACCACUGCUGCUAAAAUAGAUAGUAAAGAGCAUACAGGCAGCCUUUGUGCAUGCGUUUUGCCAAAAUACCUAAUCCCAGAGGUGCUGGGGUUUAACUACAUGCUAAAAGCUAGUUUGCCAUCUCGUGGCUGGAAAGAGAACGCCACGAGAUGCAACCAGAUGCUCUGUUUGGAUGACUGCUCGGGUUUGUUUCAUGAGAGAGAAAUAAAACAUCUGAUUAACAGCAGUGUGUUUAGGAACCCUCUCCCCUCACUACAAAUAAUUCAUGAAUGUUCCAGGAAGUGUGAACAUAAUAAAUAACCUCUAAUAGCCAAGGCAGAGUGACAGGUAUUAGACAAGAUACUGGUCUGGCCUGUGUUUUAAAGGAUAUUAUUCUCUGAUUUUUUUCUUUACAACAGUUCUCUCUACCAGUCCCAGUUAUAUUUUGACCCAGCAUGGGAGAAUGGUUGAGAAGUCAAACUAAAGAGUAAUAUUUUUCUCAAAGGAGUGAAAGUGGAGGCAUGAGCAAUUUUUAAGAAUUGUAUUCAAUCCCUCUUUUGUUCUGUUUCAUCCCUAGUACACCACUGCCUCUCAGACUUGUGGUUUUUGUUUGUCAGAUUUAAAAUAGAAAAAGAGAUUGUUUUGUUUGCUAAAACUGGGAUGGACGUGGCAAGUCCAAGAACCGUUUCAAGUGACAGAAACAAAGCUGCAUGUACAAAUGUUUGUAUCACCUUUCUUUUUUUUUUUUUUUUUUUAUAAUAGGUUACAUUUCUUAGUGUUUUUUUCUUGGUACCCUUUUACAUUUCUCUUCUUUCACAGAAUGUAAGUCAUUUCAGUCUAUUUCAUAUUUUUUUGAGACUCGGUCCUGAAAGGCGUCCAACAAUUCAUGAUCCAGCAAAGUUCUUACCAAAUAAUUAUCUUCAAAAUGGACAACUAGGUAAUUAAGAGGUCUCUAACCUCUUAAUGUCACAGUGCCUUCACAGUACUUGCAGAGUUUGCUGUGCAAUUAGUGCUGCUCUGGGGCUGGGUCAAAGUUCUCAGCACUUCACGGGAUAAAGCCUCUAAGGCCUGUGUCAUUUUCAGCCCUUUAUUUGCUACAGCUGCUCGGUCAGGUGGCUUUUGCAUCUUCCAGAGGUUUCUCAUUUAAAAAAUGUUCUUAGGAGGAGAUCAGAGUAAGAGACCUGUGUUUGUGCUGCUUUGCUAGCCCAGGAUAUGGGAUGUGAUAGCCUAAUUCUCUGCUUUGACUCGAGCAUGAACUUUGAUCUCCAAGACCAAAGAGAGGGGAUAAAGCCAAGCACAGAAGAGGAAGGAAGUUUUUCUGAGUUUAGCCUCAUCAAGAUACAGAGAUGUCAACAGGAGUGACAUCCUGGUCAAAACAAGUGCACGUGCAUGUCCCCUCAAGUUCGGUUCAUGAACAAAGAGUGAUCCGAAAAUCUGACACAUUCCUUCAGACAACUCCCACUCAGCUCUGCCUCCAAGUGCAUUUUAUGUAAUGCUAUCAUCUCUCAACUCAUCAGAAAGUGAAGGAAACAAACAGCUAGAGGAGUGCUUGGAAUGAGCAAAAUAGAGCCAGCAAACCACCCAUCAUCAGGUAGAGUCUGUACCGCAUAAAUUAAUCUUUCCUACAGAUAUGUAUGACAUUUUCCACUCUUUCUUUCCCCAGUGUGAAUCUGCCACAACUUCAUUGUAAUUUAAUGAUACCGGGAGUCUUGAAUGAAGUAUUUUAAUGUUGUCAUUUGUGGAUUUAACUGUGCUUCCAUCAAGGGAAAAAAAUCAUGUUGGAAAUUAUGGACAGAACAAAACUUUAUGGAAGAAAAUUAAUGUCACUAUAAAUACACAUGAAGAUCCCCAGCAUAUUAGUAAUGGUCACAGAUGUGCCUCACCUCCUGUCAGAAAGACAAACAGCUGAUGAAGAUGGUCAUGACAAGCAAGAAGAACGAUGGGAGAAGGAACAGGAUAAUCUAGUAGCUUGGACUAACUCUCUGUCUAACAAAAGAUUAAGUGAUUAAAUCAGAGAGGCUGCAUGUACAGAUAAGUCCUUUAUUAUUUAAAUAUCUCAGGAUUAUUUUUUUUUACAAUUCCUACCAGACAAAUCUUCAGUUCACUGCUUGUUUAUUUGUUUUCCAGCAUGGUGCUUUGGUUAGAGAUUGAGCAGGAAUGGAACAAGGAUCUGUUCUGCGCAUGCAGGCCUGGCAUUUUAUCAGGAUUUAUGCCCUCCCCUAGUCCUUGGUGGUUUGUUGCUGUAAUUUUUUGAAUCUUAUCACCUAAAUAACUUGGUGUCUUUAGGUAUUGUAACCUCUGCUGGUACUACAGCAGUGACAAGAUGUAGGCAAUCCUGUGAAGAAACAUCUAGUACUGAAUGCACAGAACAAAAUAUCUGCCGUUGCUUGUUUCAGAAUCAGACUAUGUUUGUAUUCAGAACUGAAAAACCAAUAAUGUUAUUUUUGCACUCCAGCGUUAAAUUAUAUCUUGUGUUCUGUUGGUCUUUGUACUGUAUAUGACAUGUGUGACUGUGGCCUAUUGUUUUUCUGAAAGAACUGUACUCAUCUCUUAUCUCUUCUGGGCUUAUCAGCUGUAGCCAUCACUAAGUAAUCAACGCAGCUGUGUUUAGACCUAUAGAAAGGGCAAAUGACAUGUAGGUAGACAGGACAGUAGAGAUUCCUACAGCUUGGAUCCAGGCUCAGGUUUCAAGAGGCAGCCUGGUACACUCAUUAAGUAAGCCAGAGCCUUGCGUUUACAAAGCCAUGCGGUUACAAAGUUCACAGGAUCACAUUCACAGAAGAUCUCUGAGAUUACAAAAGAAAUGUUUUUACAGUCUUCAAGGCACUGGCUUCUUCACAUGUCUGUACACUGCCUAUUGAGAGGUGUGUGUUUUAAUACUUGUACACUUUGUCCCAGGGAAAAAAUAAACCUUAGGACUGGAGCAUAAUGAUGACAGACCAGAGUACUAUGGUGUAGGAAUCCAUUAGAAAUUUUGGUUGUGUAAUUAAACUUCAAAAAUAUUUCGCAGAAUACCUAGAGAUAAAAAGAUAUGAAUGUCAGACCUCUGAAACCUGUUCCCAAGCUGACACAGCAGGCAAGCAGGGCAGCUAUCACAAAACCACCCCAUUCCACGGCCAGGGCUGUGUGUGUGUAACGCACAUGACAUUUCUUCUCAGUAACAGGAAGCUUGGGAUUUUUAUGACCACAAGGAUGGUGUUGAAAGAAUAAAAACAUUGAAAACUGUAUUAUACCUAUAUACAGCCAUGCCUGUAGGCACUGCAGUAUUUAAGAAGAGAGCACAGGACUGAAGAAUAGAUAACCUGUCAUCUCUCCACAGCUGUGCUGCUAUGAUGUGACCAUGAUCAAGUCAUUUCACCUUCCUAAGACUUCUUUCUCAUUUGACCUCUCCUGUCUGAGAGGGCAGUAAAGGUACAGAGUUUGUUUCUUUGUUGUGCUCGAAUGUUCACAGCAUGCUUUUCAUGCUCUGAAAAGAUUGUGGCAUUUCUCUAGCUAAGCAGGACCCUUGGAGCUUAUC